rnacentral:rRNA from 1 species
AUUGAACGCUGGCGGAAUGCUUUACACAUGCAAGUCGAACGGCAGCACGGGGGCAACCCUGGUGGCGAGUGGCGAACGGGUGAGUAAUACAUCGGAACGCGCCCAGUCGUGGGGGAUAACGUAGAGAAAGCUACGCUAAUACCGCAUACGAACUCUGGUUGAAAGCGGGGGAUCGCAAGACCUCGCGCGAUUGGAGCGGCCGAUGGCAGAUUAGGUAGUUGGGGGGGUAAAGGCCUACCAAGCCGACGAUCUGUAGCUGGUCUGAGAGGACGACCAGCCACACUGGGACUGAGACACGGCCCAGACUCCUACGGGAGGCAGCAGUGGGGAAUUUUGGACAAUGGCGCAAGCCUGAUCCAGCCAUUCCGCGUGCAGGAUGAAGGCCCUCGGGUUGAAAACUGCUUUUGUACGGAACGAAACGGCGACCGCUAAUACCGGUUGCUAAUGACGGUACCGUAAGAAUAAGCACCGGCUAACUACGUGCCAGCCGCCGCGGUAAUAC